AUCACAUUGAGAGCACCAGAAUGUUCAGAGCAGAAAAAGAAUUGCAAGAAGAGAUCAAAGGGUUGACGGCAAAGCUAACUAAACUGGAAGAGACUCUUAGAGACAAGGAAGCACAUGCCAAACGUUUGUGUAAAGGAUUUGAAGUUCACUGCAAUGAUUUUCCCUCAGAUGUCAUUGAAAUUGCUGCUCUAGGUCGCCCUUUGAGCCUUGGAACAUUGUAUGACAGUAAC